AUAGAUAGGAAAAACAACACAAAAAAGCGGAGUGUGCUCUAACUAGCCGAAAAGCGUUUUAUGAUGAAAGUUAACAUCAGUUUUUGUGUUAUAUUUGGAAUGCAAUUUUAUCAAUCGGUUCGUCUCUCUUACAAUCAUUACGCCCAUGUUUUAGCCACCAGUCAAAAGCAACGUUGCAAACAAUGACGUCAGUUUACAUUAUGGGCUAAUAACAUUGUUUUAAGCCAAUGAAUAUUCUUUUUGCAAGCAAUACUAAACAAGUUAUUGAUAAUCAAUGCAUAACAUAAAAUACGUCCUUUAAUAUUCGGUAUAUACUUUCAUACAAUCUGAUAAAUGCCAACUAGCCUCACGGUUUUCUGUACUUUGAAAAACAUACCUAGUUUCGUUGGAAGUUUACUUGCCAUAAAAUUCAUCUUUUACGUCAUGCAUUCAAACACUUUGGGACGUCGAGAUAGCUUAACCUAUUUAGAUUUUAUUGAAGUAUUUAUGUUUUACGAAGUAAGAGUAGGUUUCUAGAUGAAAAUAUUCUGCAUAUAUCAGUGUACAUUUCUGUUAUAUAUAUUCCCUAAGAUCUCGAUAAUGAGUCGCGGCUUAUUUUCUGUUUUUGUAACGAAUCUCAGGCUUAUUUUUCAAACAGGCCUACUUUCCAGGUCGUCUAAGUCCCUUAUCCCGAAAGGCGAGUAAGGCCUAUUUACGAGAUCGUCUUACUUUCGACUUAUUUUAUCGAUGGAACACAUUAACAAAUGAUUACUAACACUCGACGUUACUACUAUUAGUAAAUGAAAUCGUCAGCACUAUUCUAAAUUGCUCAAAAUCAUUUAUUACAUUUACCCCUUUCGUCAUCCAGAGCUGUAGGAGUCAAAACAAAACAAAACACCCCCAUUUGUUGCUUAUUAUCAAAUGAACAAUGCCUUCAUCUCAUAUAAUAAUCCAUAUUUCAAACGUACAACUAACACUGAACAACACACAUCACGUGAUCGCCAUGUGAUGUUCUGUAUACAUAGACCCAGCCAUGCAUGUCAAAGAAUAAGCGUAAUACCGUCGGUAUCACGUACUUUAAACUCAAUAAUUAACAGGUGAGCAUACCUGGAGGGAAGUGCAUUCGAUGGAUAGUCGAUGUUGUAAACAAAUACCUUAUACAUAUCUUGAAUUGGUUAUCCAUGCAUAGCAUAGCAGUACCAGGUAUACCUGGAGAUAAAACACCUACACAGUGAAGCUGGGAAACGACGCCAAACAGUUAACACAAGCGCGUACCAGUCAGCUAAGGUGCAGAAUGGAAGUUGCAGGAGGAAAUGAUUACGUGUUAGUUAUUUAUAAACUCUUACAUAUACAUGAUUGCCUGGAUAUAUUUAUAGAACAUGACAUGUAUUUAGUCACUGGGAAAACCUGAAUACUAUCAACCAUUUCGUUGAAAUGUAUAUAAUUUUUUGCACUGGAUGUCUGUGAUAUUGUCUCACUCCGAGUUAACCAGGAUGGAUCACAACAGUUUUGAAGCAUCUGCACAGAACACUUCAAUUCCACAUAGAAAUAUCGACAUAGGGCAGGAAUAUCCAUUUAAUGAUCACAGAGUAACGAUUAAUGAAUUCAAUAAAAGACAGCUAGGACGGCUUAUAAUCAAACAUUGUGGUAAUGAAGGUUCAGAGGACAAUGAAGAAAAGGGGAGCAUGCGCAGAUUACUACAGGAAGCAAUUGACUACCUACCAAAAGAAAGAGAAUCAAUUUGGAAAAAUGCCAAAGUCACUAUUUAUAAUAUAUCAGGAAACUCACUAGAGAUUACAAGUGGUAGUGGAAUGAAUGAGUUUUUCAUUCACCAUAAUAUAAAAGGCGAAACAACUAUCGUUAAAAAAGAAAACAGAGGAUUUUGUGUGAUAUCUUAAUUGUCUCCUUUUGAGAAGAGACAACAUAAACUAUUGAUUAUGUAUAUGUAGCACGUGAUGGAUCCAGGAGACAUUCAUUUCAUAUUCACUAUGAUGUAAAUAGAAAAGCAAGUGACUGUGCCUUUAACUCUGGUAUUCAGUCAGAAAGUUACUCAAAUUACAUGUUUAUAAACACUACCACAGAUUUAAAUGGAUGUACUUAUGGUGUUUUCUUUUUUUGCAAUGGUCAAAUAAAAAAUGAUUUUAUUGUUAAAGAAAA